rnacentral:tRNA from 1 species
GCGGACGUGGCGAAAUUGGUAGACGCAAGGGACUUAAAAUCCCUCGGCCUUGGCUGUACGGGUUCGACCCCCGUCGUCCGCACCA